rnacentral:lncRNA from 1 species
UUUUUUUUUUUUGUAAUUACUUUUUUUUUUUUGUAAUUACCUAAUUUAUGAAUGAAAUCCAGUAUUUGAUGAUAAAAAAAAAAAAGAAGAUAUGCGGACUUGAUAAAAAGAAAAAUAGUGACUGUUGAUAACUUAGUGUUAAAAAGAAAAAUAGUGACUGGUGAUAACUUAAAGUGUUAGAAACGAAAUUUGGUAGUGACUUUGAUUUAAUUUCUAGUUAAAAGAUUGAUUGCCUUAAAUUCCACACCAUUUUAAAAUCCAUCAUAAGAUACUAGUAUAUUUCAAAGGGAUUAUUCUUAGUUAUAAGAUUAACGUAGCCAUUCCCUGAUUAAGUACAAUAGAUGUCUCUAUAAAGGAUAAAUAAAUAAAAAGUACAAAAAAAGUAGAAAGAAAAGCGGGUUUUUCUCAACAAAUGGCUAGCCUAAGACAAAGUUCAGGAUUCUGACACAUAAACAUUGUACUCAACAAUGGCAUCUCCCGUAUUAGCAUCAAACCAAACCGUAUGGGCCAAGGCAUAACCUCGAGCAAACCUAAACUGCCCAGUGCCUCCAACAACUGGCAUCUCUCUCACAUCAUUCAUGACCGGAUUCCUCCCGAGAAUGCUAAUGCUACUCCCCUUGUACUUGCCUUCCACAAAAACAAAAUUCAUGACCAUAAGGAAUGCAAAUUCAUCUGCUUGUUGUGAAGCCACUGAGUAAAACCCUUGUGCUCUUCCGAUGAGCGUGGAGGCACGGUCUUGCUCUUCAGUCAGUGCAUUAUCGAUCAUCAUAGUGCUGCCAAAGCCUGCAGCGGUACCAUUUGGUGGCCCAAUAAUUCUAACAGAGGUUGGGUUUUUGCCACCAAGGAUGUCAUGGAAGAAAAAGUGGAGGUGGCUUAAGAUUUCUGUUUUCCCGCCGGAACUGACAAAUUGCCUGAUUAGAACUCCAUCAAUGGAAUAGAGAAAGGUUGAGUAGAGGAUGAAGAUAGAGUAGUAGAGAAACGAAGACAUAUUAGUCUCUCUAGCUAGCUAGUAUGUCACUCUGAGAGAGAGAGAGAGAGAGAGAGAGAGAGAGAGAGAGAGAGAGAGAGAGAGAGAGAGAGAGAGAGAGAGAGAGAGAGAGAGAGAGAGAGAGAGAAGAUGUAAGAAUGUGGUAUGUGGUCACUAUAAAAGAGGAGGAAGAGGGCAAGUUUUAGAAGUUGUUAAUAUGUCCAAGUGUGAGAUUGAGAAUAUAUAUUCCGUUUACAAAAAUUCUAUUGUGCUCCGGAGUAUCUUAUAUUCUAAGUUUUUUAAGUGUUAGAUAUUAUCUAUUGUGUGUUUUAGCUACAAAACAGCUAAAAUUCUUGAGUAACCGAUACUCCAGAAUAUCAUAUAUAAAAAAUCCCAUCAUGCUUAAUUAUAUAAUGGUUGGUCUGGUUGAUGCAUUUUCAAGCAACCACUGCUUUUUGUUGGGUCUACGAGAGUGUUUUGGUUUUUUAAUUAACUCAACUUGGAGAGAUUGAAUACUUUUUAAGCAAGGAGAGAUCGGAAUCCAUUGAUGGCUAACCAAAUGUCAAACAUUACAUGAAACUAUGAAAUUUUGUGUUUAGGAAUCGACAUGAGUUUGGUGUUCGGUUAUAAUAAGGUUAUGUGAGACUUAUGUUAUGCCACGUACAUGAUGAUGACCCCGAAAACAAUGAUAACAACAAUUGAUUGUCUGUUCGGGCCGAUUUUACAUGUGAGCUUAAUAUCAAAUAUCUAUUGCAUUAAGUAAUUAGCUUGAGAUUGAGAGCAAAAGAUAACAUGAGCCCUAGAUUUAUUUCUACUAAUUAAUGAAACCUUCUUUGUCAAUCAAAAGAAGGUGAAAAGACAAAUUAGUCUUCUAUGACACAAAAAAAUGAUGGACAAUAAUGUAAUUUCACAAGUCCAAAUUUUACUAUUUUUUAUUGAAACCUCACCUACGUUCUCUCUCUCUCUCUCUCUCUCUCCCCUUCUUAUUUUCUAAAAAAAAUGUGUUCAUACACAUAAAGUGUGUAGGCAAAUACUAGUAUUGAGUUAUGAAAGGAAUGAAUAAUAUGCAACUCAAAUUAUGCAUUCUGAUAUUUUAUUACUCAAAUUGAGCCCAAAAUGUAACAUAGCCUUAUAGACUAAAAUACUCUGAUAUUUUAUUACUCAAAUUAUGCAUUAUUUAAUCAAUUUUCAUAUUUUAUUAUUAGUUUUGGAUAUAUUUUAUUCAUUGUAUUUAUAUAAAGCAUACAAUUUUAUAUUAAAAAGGAUAAGCAUACUAGUACAUGUACGAAAAAUUUCGAGAAUAUUCAAAACAUAUAAAUUAUAUAAAUUUUUGAAAUAUGUUUCGGGAAUUUUAAGAUUACUCUAAUUCCAAAAUUUUAUAACAAACAUUAAAAACGUUGUUUCCAAUAGGAUGAGCCCGAAAAUCACCCCUACCCGAAACAAAAUAAUAGUACAUAAGAUUAUAUCUUUUUUUUAAUGGGCUACUCAUUAAUAGUACUGGAGGAACACUACUAUAACAUGGUGAGGUGGAAGAGGGGGCAGUCGGAGUCGCAGUCGCAGAAUUUAUCCACUAGGAUGGUGAAGCGGAAGUUGGAAGAGGAAUCGACAACAACCGAAGAGAAAACAGAAGAUGAUGACACGCAUAAUGCCACUAUACGGUCCCCGCCGAAUGUUGAGGUACAGGAGAAACUCUUCAAGCAAAUAUUUCUUUAAUAUUUCAGUAAAAAAUUAAAUUUGAAACUUUUUUAAUUAAUUUUUUUUUAGAAUUAUAUUUCCUCAAUUUCAUUUUUAUUCCUCAGAGGUGGAAGAUUCUAGAUUCAGAGGAAGACGCUGACUUCCUCAAACAAAAGAAAGUUGUGAAUGAUUAUAGGCCUGGAGUUGUCUACCAGGUUUGCUCUUGAGCUAUAAAUUAGACGUUACAUCGAUACAUUUUUAAGUCAUUUGAACUCCAACUCAAUGUCAUUACUUUUUUAUAGUAUAGCGAUAGCGUUAUCGGUUCGACAGUUAGUCGAUAGGAGAAGAGAGUAAGUGGAGAUUGAACCUGCACUAGGGUUUAUAGGCAUGAUGUUUCUUUUCACCACUAUGAUAAAGUGUCAUCUGCAGCUCAAAGUCAUAACUUUUGAUAAACUAUAAACUGCUUGAUUAGACUUGGGAGUUAUAUUCUUUGGUUAAUGAAAAUCCUUAUAUAAAGUUGGUUAGGUUUCUAUUUGAAACUCAAACUAAUGGAGUUAUAUUAUUAGGUCGGAUCUUUUGAUAUGAGUUCAAAGUAACUAAAAAUUAGACCUAUUUCAAAAGUCAAAAGUCACUAAAAAUUGGACAUAUUUCAAAAGUUGGCCUAUUAAAUUGGACUUAUUUCAAAUUUUCCCAUAAAUUAAAUGAAAAAGUAAUUGAUAACUAUAAGGUGUUGAUAUCAUUGUUGAAAAAUAUCAGUGACAACUUAGUGAGUUACUGAUACAAAUUCCGCCGAUGAUUUGUACCAGAGAAUUUCUGGAUGCAUAAAAGGACCCUAGCUUUGCAAAUUUAGGGUCUAAAUAGAUCCAUCCAUUUGUUUAUGAGAGAAAAUUUAAUUCCAAACCUUCAUUUUUCUGAAGUAACUUUUGGAUUUCAUUAACAUAUCAAGACAGUAAAGUCCAAUUAAACAAUUUAUACUGUAUCUAUUCUAUCCUUGCAGACCUUUAAAUUAUAAUAUCAUCAACCAUAAGUUCAUUCAUUGGAAUUGAGAUUAGCAUAGGCUUACUGUAUGCCACCAAGGUUUUAGCACUGGAUCAUGCAUCUCUUACUAAUACGUAGUCUCUGUUUUCUUUUUCUUUUACUGUGUUUAAUUUAUAAUUCAUGAUUUUAAGUGUUUUACCCGUCCAGGCUCUUCGUUCGAUUUUUGAUAGCAAACUUAAUAAAGCUGGUAUGGCAGGAGCUGUGUAUGUAAACACAGAUAAUGGAGUGUUAUUAUUUGAGAUUAAACCCCAUGUCCAUAUACCAACUACCAAGAACGUGUAGGCGCUUUUGUGGAGUCAUGCGUAAGUUAGCUUCUACUCCUAGUCGUUUUAUAUUCACCUUUGCACCAUUCUGCCUCUUCAAAAUAUCAUGGAACUUACGAAUUGCUUUGUAUUUUGACUUCUGCAAUUUCUAAAGUGGAGUUACUAGAUAAAAAAUGCAUACGGACCAAAGAUACAAAUGAAAUUCUUAUGCGCAUCAUUAAGGAACCUGUAACCCGACAUUUACCAGUCAACUCUAGUGUUGUAGGUGAGCAUUGCCUACCUUUAUUUAGCAUUCUGAGCUUACUGACUAGAACUAAAGCCUGUUGCACUGGGUUUGCAGGUCUCUCUUAUAGUUCAUAAAAACUGGUUGAUAUUGAUGACUAUGUUAAUUCUGCCAGUGAUGAAUUGAAUCUUGUUUUGUGGUAUGUUUGAGAUUCUAAAUUUCAGUUCAUAGGUCUCUGCUUCAUGCUCCGUUUUGUAUGUGAAUUUUGAAAUCCCCAUAACGGCUUUUUAUACAUGUUCAGGUGGGUGCAGAAGCCCAUGGGAAGAUCAAUGAGUGUACAGAUGAUUUUAUAUCAGGUAAUUUGUACUUGAGUUAUUUGAUAGUAUGGUUUUUAUAGAAGCGUGGUUUGAAUAGAUAUGUUUGUUGAUUAUUGACUCAAACUUGUAGUCAAAGAUAAAAAAUUUCGGCUACUUUUGUGGUCAAAAUUGUUGGAUGGCAUGCUACAUGUGGGAAACAAAAUACAUGCAAUUGUGCCUAACUCUUUUUGACUUGAUGUUAGGCCUUUGGCCAUUGAUGUCUUUGAGAAGCUUUUCUUUGGCUAUAAAAGGAGAGCAAGGUGUAGCUCAUAAGCAUGGAGAAGUAGAGAGGAGAACAAGGAAGAGAGAAAAAUAGCAAGAAGCCAUUCGGCAUAGAGAAGAAUUUUCUCAAAUUGUCUUGCUUUGUAUUUUUGGUUUUCUCUUCCUAUUGUAAGUGUGAGAGCUUGGGUUAUUUAGGUCUUUGGGAAAUUGAGUGAUAAACACUAUUGUAUGUUCUCAUUGAUUAUAGUGGAAUACUCCGUCGUCUCCAAACUGGAUGUAGGCAUUGCCGAACCAGUAUAAAUCUUGGUGUUCUUGUUGGUGUUGGUUUUAUUCUGUUCUGUCUUACUAUUCACUUACAGUUGAAUGCCGCUUCUGCACAACAAUGUUAAGACACUAAGAUGGUUUAUGUGAACUUUAGAGCUUGCAAAGGUGAUUUUUGGUGGUCUAGUAGUAUGAAUUCUUGAGUAAAAAAGAACAGCGAUCGAAGGAUUUUUUGCAAUGUAAGAAACCUGAAUCUUAUCAAAACUGGAGAGCAGAUGGUUGACACAAGUAGAUACUGCAAUUUCUUUAAGUGUUAUAGUGUAUUAAACUUUGUUAAUUGUCAUAGUCAGUUGUACCCAAAACUGUUUCUCGUCUGGUUAUGUUUUCUUCUUCCAGUUUAGGUUUUGCUUUACUCUUCUAUGUAUGUCAUGCUGGUCUAUAUCUUGCUGGAAUCUAUUAAUAAUAUCUUAAUGUUGCAUUUGUUUGCCUCUGCAGUUUCAAAUUAUCCAUUGAAUGCAAAAGGCUGCAUAGGGUUGAUUUGCGAGUCGUUGGAGCAUAAAUGGAAGAUCUUUUGAGUCAUAUAUAUCUAAGUUAUUAAAUACUAAUUAAGGUUUGUACAAGCGCCGAAGAUAUCUAAACAUGAGUAUUACUUCAAAAAAAAAAAAAAAAAAAAAAGGAUGGUUAUUCAAUUUGAUGAAGUCAAUUUCUUCGACACUGAAAGGUAGAGGCCAGCACAAUACUAGUCAAGCCAAGUUGAGCUGAUUUCCAUCACUGCCGAAAAUAACUAACUUGUUGAUUGUCGUCAUCAGUUCUCUUCUCGGUGUCAAAUGCAUCUAUCAGGAUGGUCAAAGUUGUAUUAAUUCGUGUACUCAUUUAAGUUCCUUCUCGAUCAGUGAGAUUAUGAUAAAAGGAAUCCCGGUUAACAAGAACAACACGCUGAUCAUGAAGCUUCUGUAUAAUCUUAUCGCAAACUGUAGUCUUACCAGAAGCUGCCCUACCAGCUAAACGAACCCAUGUUCAGAGAUACAGAGAAAGAGAGUUUUAUUUUAUAUUGCAGUUGCAAACUUGCAGAUGUUGUAAAUAUAAGCAUUUAUGUGUGAUUGCGUAAAUAAAAGUAGGAAUUUAACAUGGCUCGUCGGUUAGGAUGAUGUACUUAUUGUAUCUGUUAAAGGAUUCCCAAGCCGCCACUUAGUACUACAGUCUAAUGGUAUAUUUCUCUUCACUUGGAAGUGAGAGGUUUUAGGUUCGAAUCUCGUAGAUGGCGAAUUCAAUACUAAAUUAGGUUGCCCAUUGUGUGACUUAGGCGAACUCUCUCUCUUGGUAGUAUAAAAAUAUCGAUGUACUAUAAAUAAAAGGGAUUCCUAAACCAUAUAUAGAAGGAUUAAUAUAAAUAUAAGGCGCAACGCAUGUGAAAAAACAAGUUCCCUUCUCUCUCUCUCUCUCUCACGUUCUCUCACUCUAAUUAAGUUUUCUGGACAAUAUAUUAUCAGCUCUUUUGUAGUUCUUGAGAGGAAUCUUAUCGGUGUUUGGAGUUCUUUAUCCAAGUAUUUUCUAAGCUUAAUUUAAAUUUCAUGUGUUAAACUUGAUUAUAUGAACAUCACCACAAAGAAUGAACUCAAUUUUAUACUCGAAAUUAUAUUUUGAUUAUGUCUUUCGAUUAUUAUGAAUUACUUGUUGAUAUGUGUGUCAAAAGAAAAAGAAAAAUCUCAUGGAAAAAAAAAAAAAACCCUAACGCCGAUGGCUCCAAGACCAGGACAUGGACGCCAUAUAUGACUGUCUUUGUCCUCGAUAUUCGCCAGCGUUACCACCCCUGCAGCUGAUUUUGGAUUCGUCUAUAAAAGAAAGAAUUUUAUAAUUAUUUGUUCUCUCGAGUCUUAGACUCUCUCACCUUGCUCGCUUGCUAUAGCUAUUAGCUGUUAGCUAUCGAGGACAGAAUACUGAAGACUGAAGCCCCCCAAUUCCCUCCCCGAUUUCUUUCUGAUUCGAUGAAGACCCACAAAGUUUCGAAUCCAAAUAAGACCUCUAAAACAAGGUAAUAAGCAUUUUACUCUCAUAUUUGGUUUAGGGACUCCGAGACUGCAAUGCACGCUUGAUUAUUCAUAGAUCGCAUACUUCAUUAUUUAUUAGCUAAAUCGCGAAAAUAGUUCCUGAAAUUUACAUAACUCCUCAUUUUGGUCCCUGAGAUUUCAAAUCAAUAGAGGUGGUUCAUAAGAUUGUCCACCAUCCAUCAUUUUGUUCAUUAGUUCAUUAACUAACCUAAUGUUCAGGUUGGUGCCAUGGCUCACGGGAACAUUGAUAGCGAAUAUGUGGAUGAUUUCAUAGCAGGUUGGUCUCUUAUAACUUUCAUUGUUUGGAAUGUAUUUGCUUCUACGUCGAUUUAGCCCUAUUUUACCCGCUGGACAGCAGCUUAACACUACUGCCAAUCAGAUUUCCAAGCAACCAAACUAAUCAAUAAGCCUGAAAAAUGAAAAUCACGUUUAGUAGGUACCAACCUAAACAACCUAGCUAGGCUUGAUACAUGUCCAUGACAUUUGCAACCAAGGAAUAUUCACCACAUACACAAGUGAUGCUUAUGUUGGAGUUGUGCAACAUUGCUAAUUCACGUAUCAUAAUAUGAGUAGGCUAUAUAGAUAUUCCAUUAACAAAUAGAUUCCUCGUGUUAUAACUUGAAUGGAUUGGCCACAUGGUGGUGUGAUAAUCACACUGAAAAGUAUAUCAUCCCUAUGACUCUCCUUUGGCAAUAUUCUUUGCUUUGAGUGGAUUGGCCACAUGGUGGUGUGAUAAUCACACUGAAAAGUAUAUCAUCCCUAUGACUCUCCCUUGGCCAUAUUCUUUGCUCUGAGUGAGAAGUCACGGUACUAGAUUGUCACAUCCCAACCCGGGGUCCACCACAUCCCGGGCCCGUUCCACCACCGUAGCACGAUAUUGUCCGCUUUGGGCCCCGACUACGCCCUCACGGUUUUGUUUAUGGGAACUCACACGAGAACUUCCUAGUGGGUCACCCAUCAUGAGAGUGCUCUCGCGCGCUACUCGCUUAACUUUGGAGUUCCCAUGGAACCCAAAGCCAGUGAGCUCCCAAAAGGUCUCGUGCUAGGUAGAGAUGAGAAUAUACAUUUAAGGAUCACUCCCCUGCCCGAUGUGGGAUGUCACAAUCCACCCCCCUUAGGGGCCCGACGUUCUCGUUGGCACACCACAACCAUGGUUAGGCUCUGAUACCAAAUUGUCACACCCCGAUCUGGGGUCCACCACAUCCCGGGCCCGCUCCACCACCGUAGCACGAUAUUGUCCGCUUUGAGCCCCAACCACGCCCUCACGGUUUUGUUUUUGGAAACUCACACGAGAACUUCCCAGUAGGUCACCCAUCAUGGGAUUGUUCUCACACGCUACUCGCUUAACUUUGGAGUUCCGAUGAACUCCGAAGCCAUUGAGCUCCCAAAAGGCCUCGUGCUAGGUAGGGAUGAGAAUAUACAUAUAAGGAUCACUCUCCUGGGCGAUGUGGGAUCUUACAAUUGUCACACCUCGACCCGGGGUCCACCACAUCCCGGGCCUGCUCCACCAUCGUAGCACGAUAUUGUCCACUUUGGGCCCCAACCACGGCCUCACGGUUUUGUUUCUGAGAACUCACACGAGAACUUCCCAGUGGGUCACCCAUCAUGGGAUUGCUCUCGCGCGCUACUUGCUUAACGUUGGAGUUCCGAUGAACUCCGAAGCCAGUGAGCUCCCAAAAGGCCUCGUGCUAGGUAAGGAUGUGAAUAUACAUAUAAGGAUCACUCCCCUGGGCGAUGUGAGAUCUUACAAUCAAGGAAUUAAAUAUCGAUAUUAUCGGCGAAAUAUCGCCGAUAAUAUCGUUUUUUUGACCCGGCGAUAUUUUUUUUAGUAAAAAUAAAAUAUCUUUAAAAUAUCGCGAUAUUACAGAUAUUAGCGAUAUUAUCGCGAUAUUCGUCGUCGUCGCCGCCGCCGGGAGGUGAGAAAGGGAUCCAGAAACCAGAUCGAAGAAGAAGGAUCCAGAUCGAGGGAGAGACGGAGACGGAGAGACCGAGGCAGAGAUGGAGACGAAGAGACCGAGGGAGAGACGGAGACGGAGAGACCGAGGCAGAGACGGAGACGGAGAGACCGAGGCAGAGACAGAGACGUAGAGACGGAGAAGGCGAUGAGGUGGUGUCGCCGUUGAUGUGGUGUGGAAGUGAGGGUGUGGGUUGUUCACGGGGAGAAUGAGAGAGUGCAGAGAUGCAGAGAGUGCAGAGAGUGCAGAGAGGGAGAAGAGGGAGAAUGAGGGUUGUUCACGGGGAGAAUGAGAGAGUGCAGAGAGUGCAGAGAGCGAUGAGGAGGUGUCGCCGUUGAAGUGGUGUGGAAGUGAGGGUGUGGCGUGUGGGUUGGUUCACGGGGAGAAGGAGAGAGUGCAGAGAGUGCAGAGAGAGAGCACGGUAGAGAUGAGAGAGUGAGGGAAAAGAGAGAUCUGAGAGAAAAGAUAGACGGGGACACAAAAGCAAGGUGGGCCCCCUGGGCACACCUAUUAAGAUCUAAAAAUAAUUUUAAAAGCAAGAUAAACUCAAACUUAGUGUAACAAUCUACCCCUCUUAAAAGAAUUUCGUCUCCGAAAUUUAAAAUCACUUACUAAACUGAAAUACUAGAAAAUAGGAAGGAGAAUAUAUGUAUAAAGAGAAAUCAAGUCCAAAUAAUUACAUCAUAUUAAAAUUUGAUUAAUUUUUUUUCAGUUACAUAUAUUCUAUAUGAUAAAUUUCUAUUUUAAAUCAAGUCCAAAUAAUUACAUCAUAUUAAAAUUUGAUUUUUUUUUUUUCAGUUACAUAUAUUAUAUAUGAUAAAUUUCUAUUUUAAAUCAAGUCCAAAUAAUUACAUCUACUAAAAUUUGAUUAAUUUCUUUUCAAGUAUCUACUUUUGAACUACUCACCAUGUUCACUCUAUGUGAUACUAAGUCACUCAUGUAUCUUACCAUACAAUGUAUAAAGUGUAAAAUAUUGUACUAAUUCAUUAUAUAUAAAUGAUUAUGGUGUGUUUAAACUUAUUUCAUUAAUUACUACAUAUUUUCUACACUUACAAUGUUUGCCAGCUCGCUAUAUAAUCAACUUAAAUCCAUCAUGCAAUGCAUUUCCUUCCAAUUUUUUGUGAUAAACUAAUAGAUAAUUGACUAAAUAAACAUCCUGCAAAGUUUCAAUAAAAAUUUCCAAGUUUUUCUUACAAUUUCCGUAGUUUCCAUGUAAUUUUUAUCGAUAUCGAUAUUAUCCCGAUAUUUCCAUCGAUAUUUCCGUGUUUUUGGACUACCGAUAUUUCCGAUAUUACCGAUAUUUUCUUCCUUGCUUACAAUCCACCCCCCUUAGGGGCUGACGUCCUCGUCGGCACACCACAGCCAGGGUUAGGCUCUAAUACCAAAUUGUCACAUCCCAGGCCCGCUCCACCACAGUAGCACGAUAUUGUCCGCUUUGGGCCCCGACUACGCCCUCACGGUUUUGUUUAUGGGAACUCACACGAGAACUUCCUAGUGGGUCACCCAUCAUGGGAGUGCUCUCGCGCGCUACUCGCUUAACUUCGGAGUUCCCAUGGAACCCGAAGCUAAUGAGCUCCCAAAAUGCCUCGUGCUAAGUAAAGAUGGGAAUAUACAUUUAAGGAUCACUCCCCUGGGCGAUGUGGGAUGUCACAAUCCACCCCCUUUAGGGCGCCGACGUCCUCGUCGGCACACCACGGCCAGGGUUAGGCUUUGAUACCAAAUUGUCACACCCCGACCCGGGGUCCACCACAUCCCGGGGCCGCUCCACCACCGUAGCACGAUAUUGUCCGCUUUGGGCCUCAACCACGCCCUCACGUUUUGUUUCUGAGAACUCACACGAGAACUUCCCAGUGGGUCACCCAUCAUGGGAUUGCUCUCGCGCGCUACUUACUUAACUUUGGAGUUCCGAUGAACUCCAAAGCCAGUGAGCUCCCAAAAGACCUCAUGCUAGGUAGGGAUGAGAAUGUACAUAUAAGGAUCACUCCCCUGGGCGAUGUGAGAUCUUACACAGAUUCCAACCUUUGAAUUUUUUUUAUUGUUCUGCAAGACUAAAUACUUUUAUUUGACUCUAAUGUUUCCUUUCAUUGCCAUCCUUAUUUUGUCUUUCUGAUUUUAUUUGCUGAUAACAAGUCUGUAUGUGUGCUUGCAGUUUCUGGAUAUACGUUGAGCGCUGGGGUUUGCCUAAGAAGUAUAUGUAUAGCAUUAGAGAGAAAGUGGAAUAUUUUGUGAGGAAAAUGUUAGGAAGACGUUUUUAGACUAAAUUUUAUAGAUCACGAGGAAUUCAACCAUCAACUGCCAUAUCAUGUGGUCUGAGAUAUAGACCACGAGGAAGACGUUUUUUAGACUAAUUUUAUAUUUAGUUGGUCUAUUUAACUAUUGGAGAGGACAUGUCAAGUUCUAGUUGAAACCUUCAUUCAAUUUUUUUUUUGAGCAUUUGAAGUUGCAUUGUGUCGUAUGUGCCUUAAUUGGCGUACUCGGGCUACAUCGUCAAUUAUUCCAAGUUUGAUCAAAAAAACCAAACGAGAAACCUUUUGAUGAAACAUACCCAACUGGGCACAAACACAAACGAGUAAUUCCUGCAAGUCUCAUUUCUAGCCAACAUUAUUGUUACAAGUUAUCAUGUUGCGAAACACUCGACCUUUCGAGUUUGUGAGCAAAAAUAAUUUCUUACGGUCAAAUUUGAUGUAGGAGCACCAAGGAAGUAAACCAAUAUCCACCCCAAUAGGAGAGGUUUUUGUGUAGGGAAGUCAACUUAAGGGGAUUGUGAGAGGGUGUCUGAUAAAAAAGUGGGUCAGUGUUAACCUGACAAAUCAGGGUUAACUAGACAAAUUAGGGGGUAGAGUAGUGUAUUUUUGUUUUUUUGUUUUUUGUCUGAAUCGGCACGGACACAUGGUUCAGCUGCUGAUGCUAAAUCGUUACGAGUAGGGUUGAGCAAUGAGCAUUAUGUGGGUUGGUUGGGUUGGACUUCAACCUUUGGCUAACCCAAUAGGCCCAAAUUGGCAUUAUAGAAAACCUUUUCCACCCAAGAAAAUAGACAAACCAACCCAUCUAAACCAUUUAAAAUUUUUAAGGCGAGUUGGGUUAGACAUGUUCUACGAGUUUGGAUUAUUUAGUUUCUUUCUUAUUCCUAAAGUGAUUAUAAGUGAUAAAUAAACCAAAAUGCAUGUUAGGUUAGGCUUAAAUCAUGUAAUUUGACUGUUGUAGGAUCAUUGGCUGUUACUUAGUAUUUAAAUUUCAUUAUUUACUGGAGUGUAAACAAAUAAGUGUGUUUAAUAACUACUAAAUUUGCUAUUUAGUACUACGGUGCAGUGGUAUACCUUUUCACUUGUACCUAAGAAGUCUUAGGUUCGAUUCUAGCCAAAAGCGUAUAUGAACCAUAUUAUUGCUAGUUCAUUGCGAAACUAAACUCACCCCGUCCCCUUUAGUGUAGAUAAUAUCGUUUGUCAAAAAAAAAAAAAAAUAUAUAUAUAUAUAACUACUAAAUUUUAAGAAUAUGUUUAUGGAAUAUACAUGUAUGUUUAAAAAUUGUUAACAUUCAGAUUGGUUAAUUUUGAUCGGGUUAAUAAUGCUUCAAUUCAACACAAAUCACCUAUUACAGCCCGGCCCAACCCAACCCAGUUGGACUGGUCGGUUUGGUCGGUUCCCACCCCGCUACGAGAAUACCGAAUGAUUUGAGAUUCUCCACCCUCCCCGCCUCCUCCCCUCCCCUCUCUCUGACUUCCUAACCUAGUAGCUUCCGUUGUAUUUGGUUUGUAUAGACACCAAAGAACCUAGCUUUGGUGUGAAUUUAAGGCAUAUGACAUCAUAAGCUGAGAUUUCAAGAACUUUACAUUUUCCCUUCAAAUUUCUCCUCAUUGGAGCAAAGAAAUCAGAAAAAGUAUAUUAAUUUCUCUGUCCCUCCUGGAAAUGGUCAGCUCGCUGCUCCGAGCAAGAAAUUCCAUCACCAAAAUCCCCAAAGUCUUCCCCCCAAAUCCACAAAUUCUCACUCCAAACUCAGCCCCAAUCCAAUCCCACCAAAACCCAUGUCCCCAACUCCCUCAUACCCAAAACCCUUCAAGGGUUUUGCAGAAUUCUUCCUUUUCAACCCAGUCCUCCAAGUUUCCGGAAUACGAAAUGCCCUCGGUCACUUGGGGCGUCGUCCAAGGCCGGAAAGAGAAGCUCGUCUCCAGGGUCAUAAUCUGUGACUAUUUGAAGAGCUUAGGCAUAAUUCCUGAUGAAUUGGAGAACUUGGAGCUGCCUUCUGCUGUUGAUGUCAUGCGGGAGAGAGUUGAGUUCCUUCAGAAGCUCGGAUUGUCGAUCGACGACAUUAACGAGUACCCGUUGAUGCUCGGGUGCAGUGUGAGGAAAAAUAUGAUACCUGUGUUGGCUUACUUGGAGAAAAUUGGGAUUCCGAGGCCGAAACUUGGUGAGUUUGUUAAGAAUUACCCGCAAGUAUUGCAUGCUAGUGUGGUUGUUGAGCUUGUGCCGGUUGUCAAGUUCCUUCGUGGGCUUGAUGUCGAAAAGCAGGAUAUUGGUUAUGUGUUGCAGAAGUAUCCUGAGCUUCUUGGAUACAAGCUUGAGGGGACAAUGAGUACUUCGGUUGCAUAUCUUGUUAGUAUUGGUGUUAGUCCUAGGGAUAUAGGACCGAUGGUUACACAGUAUCCUUACUUCUUGGGAAUGAGAGUUGGGACUGUCAUUAAGCCGUUUGUUGAUUAUUUGGUUUCGUUAGGUUUGCCGAAAAAGAUAUUGGCCAGGAUGCUGGAGAAGCGGACAUACUUACUUGGUUAUGAUCUUGAGGAGACUGUUAAACCAAAUGUGGAUUGUUUAAUUAGUUUUGGGAUCAGGAGGGAAGCACUUGCUUCGGUUGUUGCUCAGUACCCCCAAAUUCUUGGGCUGCCUUUGAAAGCUAAAAUGUCUUCGCAGCAGUAUUCCUUUAGUUUGAAGCUUAAGAUUGAUCCUGAAGGGUUUGCACGGGUGGUUGAGAAGAUGCCACAGAUAGUCAGCCUUCAUCAACAUUUGAUAAUGAAGCCGGUCGAAUUCCUUCUUGGACGGGGAAUAGCUUCUGAGGACGUAGCUAAGAUGGUUGUAAAGUGUCCCCAGUUAAUUGCGCUGCGUGUUGAGCUCAUGAAGAAUGGUUUCUACUUCUUUAAGAGUGAAAUGGGGAGGCCACUGAAAGAGCUUGUGGACUUUCCGGAAUACUUUACUUACAGCUUGGAGUCGAGGAUUAAACCUAGGUACCAGAGGUUGCAAAGCAAGGGCAUCAGGUGUUCAUUGAAAUGGUUCCUCAACUGUAGUGAUCAGAGAUUUGAGGAGAGGUUGCAAGGGGAGUAUAUUGAAACAGAGACACCAGGUCCAUCAUUUUAUAUGGGUGGGAAGUUAGAGCUCCCGGGAAGUGAGAUGGUGUCAGAUGAGGAUGAUGAGAGUGAUGAUGAAGUACUUUACAGACGCACUGUUUCCUUGUAGUAAAUUUUAUUGACUUUAGAAAAUCAAAUUUAUUUUAAAAUGUUAUUCAUAUUCAUCGGAUUUGGUUUUCUUAUGCCUGUUCAUAUUUGGUCAUUGUUCUAUUUUAGUUUGACUUUUUCUUUCUUAAUCAUGUGUAUGCAUCUUAUGUAGGUCUUAAGAUUGAUAAAGACAAUGAAAGUAAAAUCGUUUUGCCUACUUCAGUUAGUAUAUUCUUUCAACUAGUUCAGUUACCUGAAAUCAUUAGCUUUGCCUUUUGAUGGAUCAGAUUCUGAUAGACAAAUAUCAACCGUCACCCAACCUACGACUGAGACAGUGCCACUGUUUGCUACUAUGAAUUUUGAUGAUGCUCACUUAUGAUUUAGAACUGUAUCUUUCUGGUGUCGAAAAGGAUGUUUGCAUGAAUGUCUAAAGUGGCCUAACUUUGUGUCCCGUUUAGUUUCUUUAUUUGGGAAACUAAAUGUUUUUCUUGUGAUGGAAAAUGCGUUACUCUUUGUUCUGUCGCAGAAAGAUACAUUAUCAUUACAUAGAAGCAUGAACAGGUAGAGUUCUUGUAUUGGUCACAUUUUGUUAUGCAAGUAUGCAUCCCAGGAAUGGUGGAGGCUGUACGAAUCACAACAUGAGAAGAAAACUUAGUCAGAAAUGGUUCAAAGGUUUCCUUUCGUGUUUCGUGGUUAGUAUGUGUUGAUCAUUAAAUUGUACUAUACGUGGUUCUUAGUAUUUGGAAAUAGUUUCUUUGGUUUUUUUUAUUUUUUUAUAUUUUUUAUGAAUACCUUGAACUCUGCUACUUCUCUGUGUGUUUCCCCAGUUGUUACAAAACAUCCCAGGCUAGUAGACAACUAUGAUGACGGUUGACACCAAGUCUGUCUAGCCUUAUUUGAAAUUUACUCGUAUAUCAUGUUGAAUUUGUUGCUUUAAAGUCAACGAAUGCAUUCAUGUAAUGUUGAUGAUGGGAAAUCGACAUUUAUAUCAUCUGAUAAUGUGAAGUUGCUUCUUUUCAUACCUAGUGCAAUUUUGCUAUAGCUGUUUGUAUAGAUGCAGUCAGAUAUGGGUCAAGACUUUGUCUUUAGGAUGACCUUGCUUGCAUGAGCAAGGCUCAAGUCUCCAAUAUUUAUAAAGGAAAUGUUUGUCUCCCAAUAAGUGUAUGUACGUAAAAUAAAAGCCUAUGGAGAUUGUAUUUCUGGUUUCUUAGCUAGUAUUUUCCUUCCAACUGAAUUAGUGACUCUGCACCCGACUACUCUGAAGAUGCAGAUCUUGUAUAUCUUGUACAAACUGCUUUAUUCCCAACAUCAUAACCAAAGAGUUUAUAUGGAUAUGGUUCUUCAAGGGUUUUUAGGCAUGUCGCAAUCAUGAACACUAAGGCUCGUUAAUGUCCAGACAAAUUCGCAGGGUCGUGUCUUCACUCUGCUGUCAAGUGUUGAUGUCAUUUUUGUUUUCGGAUAUUGGCAAAAUUUAUGAGUUUAUUGAUAGGAUGCACAUGUAGGAGCUGGAUCUGUAUUUUACAAGGGUAAUCAAUCUUGAAAUUCAUCUUGUUGCUGGUUGUGUUUGGGGCCUGGCGCGUAACAUUUUUUAGCUUUGCUGACUGUUCCAUGGUUGAGAAUGAUACUUUUAAAGAUCAAAAGAAGAUGAAAACAAAAGAUGCAAGCUUUUCUUCUCCGGAAUUUGGGAGAUUUUUACCUGCAGUACUUAAUGGGUAUCUAAUGAGCUUCAUGUGACGGCCAGUAUUCAUAGUUAUGGUGAUGAGAUUGGUCUUGGUGAUGAUGAUGUAAUACACUUUAUUAUGAUUUCCCUAUCAUGGUGAUGAGAUUGGUAUUGGUGAUUACUAUCAUGUUUUAUUUUUAUUUUUUUUUUGAGCAAACGAUAUUACGUGUACUAAGUGGUGGGGAAGUGGACUAAGCCUCGUAUUGGGUUAGCCAUAAUAAUAUUGUUUAAAUUCGCUUUUAAUAAGAAUCGAACUUAAAACUUCUCACUUACAAAUAAGAACCAUGUAUUAUAUAAAUUCUCACCAAACACAUUGGACAGAGAAAGAGAAUCGGUCACGAACGCUCUCGGACUCUCUAAAACCCAUCCAGAGAUAGAUGACAAUCUAUUUCUAAAUUUUAUAUACAAAUUUUUCAAUUUAAUUCAUGUGGCUCAAUUUGAUUAGUUAUGUUGUCCCCUCACAUGUUUUAAUGAAAUUUUAACUGAGCUUGACGGCAGGGACAUCAUUGACGUGCAAGAGAAAACAUAACAUAAAUGACCAAAAUUAUGUAUUUACAAUACGUAAAUGAUUAUUUGUGAUAAAAGCCUUUAAAUACUUAUAUCACAUUAUUCGCAUAUGACCAUUAGACGAAAAUUGUAUUAAAUAUAUAAGUACUCCAAGGUUUAAUGUCUUAAAAAUCCUUUCAAUCUGUCACUUAAUACUACGAUCUGGUGAUAUUCUUCUUCACUUGAAAAUGAGAGGUCUUAGAUUCGAAUCUUGUAGAUGGUAAAUUCGUUAUCAAAUUAAGCUGUCCAUUAUGUGGUUUAGCCAAACUCUCAUCUCCUUAAUGUAAAAAUAUCUAUAUACUAAAAAAAAAAAAAAAAAUCCUUUCAAUCUGAAUUUGACUAUACACCCCAAAUUGUUAGAUGAAUUAUUAGGGUUUUGGUCUCCUAAUUGCCUAAUUGGUAUCACAAGAGUUUGAGAAACUUCCGACGACGCCGUUUUGUACACUUCGAUGCAAAAUAGUGUUCUGACGAGUGACGAGUUCUGGUAAAGCAAACAGAGAGUUUAAACCUUCACGAGCUCUGCUAUCUCUCUCUGCCUCUACCGCCAGCCUCUCUGAUUCUCCAGGUGAGUUUCCUCCUUCUCUUCUCUUUUCUUCUUUCCCUUUUUCUGUUGGAAUUUUCUGUUUGCUGUCCCUGAUUUCAUUUGCGGUAUUUUGGAUUUUAACUGCGAUGAAUGAUGUAAAAGCAAAAAUGCUAAAUUUUGAGCACUCAAAUCUCAUUCAUUUAUUAGUAGAAAGCCAGCAUUAAUUCAAAUUGCGUAAUCAAUUUAUCAACUUGCUGCUUCUCAUUUUUCUCUGAAUUGGGUAAUGCUCGUGGCAGCCCAUUUUUUUUCGGUUAUGGCUGCUGUUGCUGCAGAUUUUUCUGUUGAUUUUGGAGGUUUGAUUAUUCUCGUCUCUCUAGACCCUUGAUUUUUUUUAUUAGUCACAGUUGAUUCUUGCUCUGGCAUGUUUUCGACAUUGAAUCACAAUCAGCUUGUGUAUUUCGUUAAUCGGAUAAUUUGAGUUGGCUUGUUGUGUGUUUCUUCCUUUAGCACAUUUUUCAUUAGAUGAUUACAGAUGACAUUAGUAUAUUUCUUGUUUCCGCUUUAUAGGAGGCGAGUUGAUGUGUUUUCGAGCCAAUGCUGCUUUGUUGUAGCUAAGACAAUGGAAUGGGAACUAGACAUGGAUUGUUCAACAAUUUGUGGGUGACCUCUCCUUCCUCGACUCCACACCCUUUGGGAAGCUAUUGGACUCAUGCAUCCGAACCAAGUCGGCACGUGAUGCACGUCGCAUCCAUGCCCGUAUCAUCAAGACCCAAUUUUCCUCGGAGAUUUUUAUCCAGAAUAGGCUCAUUGAUGCUUAUGGAAAAUGUGGUUGCUUGGAUGAUGCACGCAAACUUUUUGAUAAAAUGCCUGAAAGGAACACUUUCACUUGGAACUCCAUUUUAAGCACAUUAACGAAGUUGGGUUUAAUUGAUGAGGCUGUGAAGAUUUUUAGGUUAAUGCCUGAGCCUGACCAGUGCUCAUGGAAUUCGAUGGUAUCAGGGUUUGCCCAGCAUGACUGCUUUGAAGAAUCUUUGGAAUAUUUUGUUAGAUUGCAUGGGGAGAAUUUUGUGCCAAAUGAAUACUCAUUUGGUAGUGCUCUUAGUGCUUGUGCAGGUUUAAGAGAGUUGAAAAUGGGUGUUCAAAUUCAUGCUGUAAUUGCAAAAUCCUCGUACUCAUCAGAUGUUUAUAUGGGGUCUGCACUUAUUGAUAUGUACUCUAAAUGUGGGAGUGUUUCUUGUGCACAAAGAGUUUUUGAUGGGAUGAAUGACCGGAAUACUGUUUCUUGGAACAGUUUGAUUACUUGUUAUGAGCAGAAUGGCCCAGCAAGCGAAGCCUUGGAAGUUUUUGUGAAGAUGAUGGAGUGUGGGUUCAAACCGGAUGAACUAACUUUAGCCAGUGUGGUAAGUGCAUGCGCAAGCUUGUCCGCAAUAAAGGAAGGUCAGCAAAUACAUGCUUGUGUUGUAAAAUGUGAUAAAUAUAGGGAUGAUCUUGUUCUGUGCAACGCAUUAGUUGAUAUGUAUGCAAAAUGCAAAAGAGUAAAAGAAGCCAGAUGGAUUUUUGAUGGGAUGCCUGUUAGAAAUGUUGUUUCAGAAACUUCCAUGGUAAGUGGAUAUGCAAAAUCGGCAAGCGUAAAAGCAGCAAGAUUGAUGUUUACAAGGAUGAUGGAAAGAAAUAUAGUCUCUUGGAACGCACUUAUUGCAGGGUACACACAGAAUGGGGAAAAUGAAGAGGCCCUUGGACUCUUUCUCCUCCUAAAGAGGGAGUCUGUUCUGCCAACCCACUAUACAUUUGGGAAUCUACUCAAUGCGUGUGCAAGUCUUGUUGAUCUGCAGCUUGGCAGGCAGGCUCAUGUACAUGUAUUGAAGCACGGAUUUCAAUUCCAGGUCGGGGAAGAGCCUGAUAUUUUUGUCGGGAAUUCUCUAAUAGAUAUGUAUAUGAAAUGUGGAUCUAUUGAAGAUGGCUGUCUUGUUUUUAAAAAUAUGUUGCAAAGGGAUUAUGUCUCCUGGAAUGCCAUGAUUGUGGGGUAUGCACAGAAUGGUUACGGGAUUGAAGCUCUUGAAGUAUUUAGAAAAAUGUUGGCAUCAGGGGAGCAACCAGACCAUGUCACUAUGAUUGGUGUGCUAUGCGCUUGUAGCCACGCAGGAUUGGUUGAUGAAGGAAAAAAGUACUUUUACUCAAUGAGUGAGGAACAUGGUUUGGUACCAAUGAAGGACCAUUAUACAUGUAUGGUUGAUCUGCUUGGUCGAGCUGGCUGCCUUAUUGAUGCCAAAAAUUUGAUAGAGGUCAUGCCAAUGCAACCUGAUGCUGUUAUAUGGGGGUCUUUGCUUGCUGCUUGUAAAGUUCAUCGUAACAUUACCUUAGGGGAGUAUGUGGCCGAGAAGCUUUUAGAUAUUGAACCUAGGAACUCUGGACCAUAUGUUCUUCUCUCAAACAUGUAUGCCGAGCUUGGGAGAUGGGCUGAUGUUAUACGAGUAAGGAAGCUGAUGAGGCAACGGGGAGUUGUCAAGCAGCCAGGUUGCAGUUGGAUUGAAAUACAGGGUCAUGUGCAUGUUUUCCUGGUGAAAGAUAAAAGGCAUCCUCAAAGGAAAGAAAUACAUUAUGUUUUGAAGUUGCUUCUUGAACAGAUGAGGCGAUCUGGAUAUUUCGAAGAUGCUUGUGAUCUCGAGUCCGAUGAAGAACAUGGCGAAUCCCAACUAACCUCAUUGUACCACAUCGAUAUGUUGGAAGAUGCAGCAGUCGGGUGAUUUUCCUCGAUAAAAUUUGGUAAAUACUCAUCUUCAUUCUUGGAAAAGAAAAAGAAAAGAAAGCUCACAGAGUAAUGUCAUACUUUAUUGUUACCAUGCCUAUGUUUCUUCAUUUCAAUUUAUGGUGGACGAUUAUGCAUUGGGUGCAAAAGAGAGAAUCUCUUCGUUUUGGGGCAGAUUAUAGUGAGCUUCUUUAGUAAUGGAUCCAUUCAAUGAUGAUUCAGAUUUCUCCUUGGAUAUAAGUAGUGAUUUUGAUUCAUCUGAAAAGCCGUCGUUCAUAUCACGGUUUAUAUGCAGAGGGCAAGAUGCGACUGAGGUAAUAUCUCCUAUACAGGCAUACAGCCUUCCCUAGUUUUGCAUCUUCAGAUUUCUAAAGGCAUACAAGUUAUCUGCCGCCUGACUUAUGGGAUAAAUUGCCAUUCUUAGUUUCAUACCAACCGAAGGCUGUCCAUAAGAAUGGAAGGCGAUCCCCAUCCCUUUACCGAACUAAGAAACAUGGCUUCCGUGUCAGUAUCGACCCAUGGAGACUGAUAAAGUUGAGCAUAGAGAAAGCAUUGAUAGCAGCAGAGAAAGGAUUUGAACCACUACCGUUAGAGACCAAAUGUGGACCUCCGAUGAUGAGCACACAUAAUAAAAGCGCAGCCACUGCAGGAUCAGGCUUAACACCUCUGAUAUCCAAAGGGGGGAUGCCAGGGUCACCCGGCGGAAAGUUUUGAAGCCCAAGAAGGCGGUUUUCUGGCUCACCAACCAUGUUCUCUGGCAUUGUGCCCUCACCAAAGAACAAGUAGGGAAAAAAAAAGUACCAAGUAGAGAAAUAAUCUUACAUUCAUGUAAAUGCAUGUUAAUGGUAUUCAUGUUGUUCUACAUCAAACUAAUAUUGCCUGAUGUGGGUGAGGCCAAUCGACCAAGGGCCGUUCCAUAGAGUAGUAUAAAAAGGAAAACUAACGAAAAGUCUAAAAAAAACUCUAGUUUUAAUGAAAAAUGACAAAUAAAGGUGUAGUGAAUAGUAUCAAAAAAGUUAAAAAUAUGAUUUUUCGUUAAAAGUGAAUAGUACCAAGAGUGUUUCGUUAAAACUUCUUAUAAAAUAUCGCUUUGUCAAAAACAUAAUUACCGAGAUUGCCUAACAUUUGGCAUCAUCGCCGAGCUCCUCUGUCUGAACAUUACAUUUGGCUUCAAUGGAAUAAAUAGAAAACUAACUCUAAACAGGAAUGUUCUUUAAUAAUUAAUUGUCAUAAUGCAACGUGAAUAUUAAGAACAAAAGUAACAUCUUCAUGCCAAAAUUUGUGAAAGAUUUUUCAGUGUACCGGGAACAUGGCUUUGAUACACAAAGUGUCAUAUUACAAGUGGUUUGAUACUUGAAAAAAAAAAUCUAAUCAAUUGUAUUAUAAUACUUGAUGUAUCAGACCGUGUUUCCGGUACAUUGAAACAUUUAUCCUUCGUUUUGGAAGCACACUGGGAUGCACCAAUAACAGCUGGCAGCUUGGCACCAAUAAAUAGCCCAUAAAAGGCCCAAUUACACCAUUACAGAAAUGAGCAAUCUUCUCCAACUCGUCAGAGUCGGAACUCAAAAACUCAAAGAAGAGAGUGAGCGAGAGAGGAAGAGAAAGAUAACCAAGAGAAUUGAACGGUGCCGUUUCGCAAGCCAUCUUCUUCCACGAGCCAAAAAAGCUUCGUCCCAAAACCUGCAACUUUCUCCGGGUCAGUUUCAUCCUCCAUUUCCCAUCUCCUUGGUUUUUUUCGUUUGGAUUUUUCUGUUGCAUUUGCAUAUUCUAAUUUUGGGGGGUUUUCGGAUACUAUGCACGUAGUAAUUCAAUUCUCAUGUGAUGCAAAUGAUCGUUUGAACCCUUUGAGUUGUUUUAAUAUUAAUCUUAAUUUUGAUAAUUAAUCAAAAGUUUAGAGUUGAAGUUGUCAUUGAGUUGUUAUUUUUACAAGCCCUUGGAAAAUUAAAGUUUUAUCUCAAUGGAAUUUUGAAUGGAAUGUUGAAUUUCUGUUACUUUUUGCGCUUGCUUGGUAUGUGGAUUGAUCAUAUGAAUUUUGAUCAAGUUGUAUAGGAGUAUGGCAAUGAGAGUGCACCGUGUUUCACUCCAACAGAGUGGCAUUUGUUCCUUUGUGGUUGAGUAUACGGAAUUUAUCCCUUUGGAAUGAUGGAUUUAAGUAUCUGUGACGGGGGAUGCAUUUCGAGGGAAAGGAGGGUCCGAUUGUAGUUGAGGAUAUGAAAAUGGAUAUUUGAAGUGUUUUACCAAAUCGUAAAGUUUGUUUGUUAGCUUUUUAUUUCCCUCCCUCUUGUAUUUUUAUCAACUUGAGGAACAUUAUUAGAAAUGUUUUAAGCUCUUGGUUUUACUAUCUAAGUCAAUAAAAAGCCCAAUUACUGGCUCAAUACAAAACAUUAUUAGAAAUGUUUUAAGCCCAAUAGUCGGCCCAAAAACCAAUGUAGGGCCCGCAGUUGACAAAAACCCUAGCUGUGAGAGAGAGAAUUUGAGAGAGCGAGAAUGGUGUCCGGCUCAGGAAUCCGCGCGAAGCAAGUGGUGGUGGAUAGGCACCACCACAUGCUCGAUCAUCUGGCGCGGUCGUGACCAAGGGCCUUCUCAACGGCCAGCCGAUCGCAGUCGUGCGCACCAAGCAGACCACCAUACCAUGAUUAUAGGGAUAUUCACUUCGGACACCCCAAGAGCAGACCGUCAUACCAUGAUUGUAGGGGUAUUCACUGCGGACACCCCAAGCGAUGUCUCAAACUUGGACGCAGCUGAAGAAUCGAACCGUUACCCAUUUGUCGUCUGGUCCGUCGAGCUCCUCUAAAAAAAUUCCUUUUUCAAACCAAGGGUAGGCUGUGACGAAUGAAACAUCUCAUUGUUCCGUUGUCCUUGUCCGACAUUCUCUAAACAAGUACAAACACUCCAGAGUAGUGCGGUGUGUCAAAGGUGCCAAAGCCAGUUGAAUGACUAGAACUGUCCGGUCUUCAAAAAUGAUCUCUGGACUCCUAAGCACAGGGAAGUACCACUUGAGCCAAAUUUGUACCAUCCAAAGUGGCCCUUGCCGAUUGGUCUGGAAUGGCCUAUCUUUGAUCAUCUUGUCCAACAUCGAGUACAGAUAAGAGAGCACGAAUGGCCCCAUGGCAACAUCUUCAUAGGCAUUCAAUGCCUCAGCCAGAGGAAUCCAUUCCAAUUUGAUGUAUUUGGAGGGAUUUGGAAACAAGAAUUUGUUGAGCCAAUACAACAGGAAAUGUACGUGCUCCUGAUCGGGAUUUGCCCGAAGGGAGUUGGAACUAGAACGUCCCUUGAAAUAAUGCAAAAAUCCUGAGAAAGAGGUGCCUGAGGCCUUGAGCUUGGCCGGAUCGCUAUUCAUUUUCACAAGAAGAAGGAUAGCUCCGACAUUUCCUUUCUUCUUCUUAUUGGUUUCCCUAGGAGCUGCCCAGUCCUUGGUGAUGUCAACACAUUUGCUCGACGGUCGAAGCCCGAACAACUGAGCCAUAUCUAGGAUCGUGGGUGUCAUCGGGCCCAUUAUGAAAUUGAAGGUGUUGGUGGUGUUGUCCCAAAACAUCAUUACUGCACUGAGAAGCUCGAGAUUCAAAGUGAUGCCUUGCUUGGACAGCAUAAUCAGGUCGUGGAUGCCGUUGGAUCGCCAUUUAGCUUCAUGAAUGGGCUUCAAGUUAUCAAUCCAUUGUCCCCACUCUUCACUGGAGGGAGUAGGGAAGCCCUGGGUAGCGUGACUCCAACCUUGUGGACAAAUACCAGUUCUGGUCCUAUAUGGAUUGGGAGUGAUCCAUGUUGCUGCCAGCGGGUUACACUCCACUACAUCUGGGACUGGGCGAGUCUAUGCAGGACCCAGAGAGAAUGCAUCUCUGUGUUCGAAGAACGCAUCAAAAUGAAGAUCAGGCUGAUCUGGGUAGAGCAAUCCAAUCUGAUGUCUGAGUUUGGUAAUGUCGUCACUGAUUUUGUAUCGAGGACGAUUUGAAGCCUUCAUUGGAGAAACUUUGAAAGAACAGAGAAACGGGAAGACUGAGAAUUCGUAAGGAUUGAAGAAAUCAGAAGCAAAAGUAAUAUGGUUCUCAAUCUAGUUUUUUCAUUUUUAUAUGUUUACAAUUUAACGGUCAUUAGUGGCGCAAAUAUUGAUUCUGACUAGGAAUUUGAGAGGUUUAAAUAUAAUUAAAGCCAAUCUUAAUGGUUUAAUCCUGUUUGAAAAAUGGGCAAUGUUCGGACAGAAGAUAAGCAGUUAGGCCUGUUUCUAAGGCCCAACCUUAUUUAUUUCCCAUUUAGCCCAUUAUUUGACAGAUUUAAUAAGCAAAGCCCAUCAGCCCAUUCACAAGGCUAGUCAUAUUUGUUCACACAUUCAUACUUGAGGAACAUCAAAAGGUUGUGCAGGCUUGUAGCUGGAGUAGUAAAUAUCUUGUUCACACAUUCAUACUUAAUAUUUGGUUGCGCAGGUAGAGUUUUAAUCAAUGAGUCGACUCUACAACUUGUAUAACAGUCAUAUCAAACUCUUAUGGAUGUGAUAAUAACUUGAGAUAGUGCAUUCCAUGAUUCUCGCUAACUUGUUUUGUUUGUUUCAAAGACUUUCUAACACAUAUCUUUUGUAUUUUCCUAUUCAUGAUCCUUUAGUCUAGAAAAAUUCUUCUACGCAGUUGUUCGUAUGUAGAAACUAUCAAUUCAAUGGGAUCACAAGGUACCUUGGAUGCUAAGAAAAUAUAACGACUAUUUUGUGAGUGGCCGCACGUACUUAUGACCCUUUAGUCGCACACUAAAAUUUCUCCUUAGACCGAGAUGCAUGUCAACUUUACACUACACUAAAAACACAUCAUAUUGUUAAGGAAAUGCUUGGUAACUUAUCAUUUAACACUCACUUUCAUAUCUAAAUCACUCCAAAAAGAUUUGUUGUGAGAAAAUAUUGUUUGGUUCAUAAAUUUUCUCUAGUGCAUAUCAAAAGAAAGUUCAGUUCCGAACAAGAGUGCACCAGAGAUAACCUCUUGGUUCUACCAUCCAAGUCAAUAAAAAGCCCAAUUACUGUCUCAAUACAAAACAUUAUUAGAAAUGUUCUAAAGCCCAAUAGUCAGCCCAAAAACCGAUGCAAGGCUUGCAGUUGACAAAAACCCUAGCUGUGAGAGAGAGAAUUCGAGAGAGCGAGAAUGGUGUCUGGAUUAGGAAUCCGCACGAAGCGAGUGGUGGUGGAUAGGCACCACCACAUGCUCAAUCAUUUGGCGCGGUUGUGACCAAGGACCUUCCCAACGGCCAGCCGACCGCAGUUGUGCACGCCGAGCAGACCGCCAUAUCGAGAAGUCUGGUGACUGCCUUGUGGAUGUGCUGAUGGGCUUUACUUAUUAAAUCUGUCAAAUAAUGAGAAAUAAAUAAGGUUGGGCCUUAGAAACAGCCCCAACUGAUUAUCUUCUGUCUAAACAUUGCCUAUUUUUUAAACAUGAUUAAGUCAUUAAGAUUGGCUUUAAUUAUAUUUAAACUUCUCAAAUUCCUCGUCAGAACCAAUAUCGGCGCCACUAAUGACUGUUAAACUGUAAACAUAUAAAAAAUGAAAAAACUGGACUGAGAACCAUAUUACCUUUGCUUCUGAUUUCUUCGUUACGAAUUCUCAAUCUCCCAGUUUCUUAGUUCUUUCAAAGUUUCUUCAAUGGCGGCUUCAAACCGUCCCCGAUACGAAACCGAUGACGGCUUCACCAAACUCAGACAUUAGAUUGGAUUACUCUACCCAAAUCAGCCUGAUCUUCAUCUUGAUGCGUUCUUCGAACACAGAGAUGCAUUCUCUUUGGGUCCUGCAUGGACUCGCCCAGUCCCAGAUGUAGUGGAGUGUGACCCGCUGGUAGCAACAUGGAUCACUCCCAAUCCAUAUAGGACCAGAACUGGUCUUUGUCCACAAGGUUGGAGUCACGCUACCCAAGGCUUCCCUACUUCCUCCAGUGAAGAGUGGGGACAAUGGAUUGAUGACUUGAAGCCCAUUCAUGAAGCUAAAUGGCAAUCCAACGACAUCUACGACCUGAUUAUGCUGUCCAAGCAAGGCAUCACUUUGAAUCCCGAGCUUCUCAGUGCAGCAAUGGUGUUUUGGGAUAACACCACUAACACCUUCAAUUUCAGAAUGGGCCUGAUAACACCCACGAUCCUAAAUAUGGCUCAGUUGUUCGGGCUUCGACCGUCGGGCAAAUGUGUUGACAUCACCAAGGACUGGGCAGCUCAAAGGGAAACCAAUAAGAAGAAGAAAGGAAAUGUUGAAGCUAUCCUUCCUUUUGUGAAAAUGAAUAGCGAUCCGGCCGAGCUCAAGGCCUCGGGCACCUCCUUCUCGAGAUUCUUGCAUUAUUUUAAGGAAUGUUCCAGCUUCAACCCCCUUCGGGCAAAUCCCGAUCAGGAGCACGUACAUUUCCUAUUGUGUUGGCUCAACAAGUUCUUGUUUCCAAAUCCCUUCAAAUGCAUCAAAUUGGAAUGGAUUCUUCUGGCCGAGGCAUUAAAUGCCUAUGAUGAUGUUGCCAUGGGGCCAUUUGUGCUGUCUCAUCUGUACUCGAUGCUGGACAAGAUGACCAGAGAUAGGCCAUUCCAGACCAACCGGCAAGGGCCACUUUGGAUGGUACAAAUUUGGCUCCAGUGGUACUUCCCUAAGCUUAAGAGUCCAGAGAUCAUUUUUGGAGAUCGGACAGUACUAGCCAUUCAACUGGCUUUGGCACCCUUGACACACCACACUACUCUGGAAUGUUUGUACUUGUUUAGAGAAUGUCGGACAAUGACAACAGAACAAUGGGGUGUUUCCUUUUUCAGAGCCUACCCUUGGUUUGAAAAAGGAAUUUUUUUGGAGGAGCUCGACGGACCAUAUGAAAAAUGGGGAACGGAUCGAUUCUUCAGCUGCGUCCAAGUUCGAGACAUCGCUUGGUCAUCCCCACUAGUUUGUCUACUCUUCUUAAUCUUAGUUCCAAUAAAUCUAAUUGAUUGGUCAUCCACUUAGAUUUAUCUAAUUAUCUAGAAACAAGUUCACAAUGAUAGCCAGUCACAAUAACAUUCGAGACUAGAAUAGAUUAAGAAUGAAACAUGGCAUGUAAUCGAAUAAUAAUAAACAAGAUAUUUCAGAAAUAAUCAUGUCAUGGCUUCAUCAUAAGCCUUAGAAAAGUAGUUUAAGUACACAUAGUCAUAAUAAAAAUCACAAAAGAAGUCAUGGAAGAAGUGUUGGAUAUAUGUCAACAUUCUGUGAUAAUUUAUAUAUGCUAAUAAUUUAUCUUCCGGAAAAACCUGUAAAGAUAUGGGAAACGUAGUUUUAUCUCUUAUUUUUCCACGCCUAUAUCGCACGUCACUAGGAAAAAUCUUCUCCAACUAGUCAAAGUCGGAACUCUGAAACUCAGAAGAGAGUUGAACGGUGCUGUUUCGCAAGCCAUCUUCUUCCAAGAGCCGAAAAAGCUUCGUCCCAAAACCUGCAACUUUCUCCGGGUCAGUUUCAUCCUCCUUUUCCCAUCUCCUUGGGUUUUUUUCGUUUGGAUUUUUCUGUUGCAUUUGCAUAUUCUAAUUUUUGGGGGUUUUCGGAUACUAUGCACAUAGUAAUUCAAUUCUCAUGUGAUGUAAAUGAUCGUUUGAACCCUUUGAUUUGUUUUAAGAUUAAUCUUAAUUUUGAUAAUUAAUCAAAAGUUUAGAAUUGAAGUUGUUAUUUUAGUUGCUUGGAUUAGGAAAUAUUUUUACAAGCCUUUGGAAAAUUAAAGUUUUAUCUCAAUGGAAUUUUGAAUGGAAUGUUGAAUUUCUGUUACUUUUUGUGCUUGCUUGGUAUGUGGAUUGAUCAUAUGAAUUUUGAUCAAGUUGUAUAGGAGUAUGGCAAUGAGAGUGCACCGUGUUUCACUCCAACAGAGUGACAUUUGUUCCUUUGUGGUUGAGUAUACGGAAUUUAUCCCUUCGGAAUGAUGGAUUUAAGUAUCUGUGACGGGGGAUGCAUUUCGAGGGAAAGGAGGGUCCGAUUGUAUUGUAGUUGAGGAUAUGAAAUUGGAUAUUUGAAGUGUUUAACCAAAUCGUAAAGUUUGUUUGUUAGCUUGAGGAACAUCAAAAGGUUGUGCAGGCUUGUAGCUGGAGUAGUAAAUAUCUUGUUCACACAUUCAUACUUAAUAUUUGGUUGCGUAGGUAGAGUUUUAAUCAGUGAGUCAACUCUACAACUUGUAUAACAGUCAUAUUCUUCAGAAAAUAUAGUGGACAUAACUACCAGUUUUGGGUCGAAAGAUUUCAUAACAAAAACGGGGAUUUCCUUGUUAUCUCCAAAUCAGAAAAGGAAGGCUUUGUCAGAAAUAUUCUCGUCCCUGAAGGUUUUAACUUUUUCGGAUGGAGAAGUUUAGAGGUCUUAUUGUCUGAAAUCCUCCGUGGGGGAAAGAGAGUGGGGGCUACUCAGAGGAAAGUGAAAAGAGUCGGAAAAGAGUUUGUGAACAGCCAGACGGGUGCAGGCCAUCAGGUUUCGUAUAGGGAUGCUGUCCUCGGAGGCAAGACGGCGACAAUUGUGGCACCCACUCGAAAUGCCAAAGAGGAAAUAUGGAUGAAGAAAAUCUGGAAUAAGAGAGACAUUUCCAAGGAAGCCUACAGUUGGGGGAGCGUAGUUGUUUGUGAGAGACAGGUGGUACAUCAACCUUGGAGAGAGGUGGAGGCCUCACUUCGAAAUCUUCUGGGAAUGGAAAUAAGACUCUCGCCUUUCCAAUGCAACAAGGCGUUGUUCGUCUGUCAGAACGAAGAGGAAGCAACCAAAAUUGCUCAACUUGGAACUCUAGCCAUGAAAAAGCUACCAGACGUGGUGAUGUCUGGAUGGUGGGACAGUAUCAAUUCAAAUCACAGAAAGGUGGUUAGUUAUGGCGGUUGGGUUGCUCUGGAAGGAUUACCGCCACACCUUUGGACCAAUAAUUUUUUCCUGAAGAUUGGAGAGGCCUGCGGAGGUCUGGUAGAAAUCGACCGAAGAACCGCUAACUUUGAUUUCUGCUCGAAGCAAAAUUAAAAUUGAAACCCAACGACACAGGCUUUAUUCCAGAGUUCGUUGAUGUGGCAGAUGGAGAAUCAGUUUUCAGGGUUAAAAUUCGUCAACUUUCGCCAGCAAAGAGACCUAAUCUUUCGGCUGAAGACGGUGGAGCAACUAAAUCACCAAAUGGAUCUUUGAAGAAGGACCUGAAAAUACAGAGGCUCACCGGAGCUACCCUUCCGGCGAAGGCGGAUAUGCAACAAUCAGUUCCUUUUCCGGGGACACGUGUCUCUUUCCGGAUUGGUGAGUUUGAAUGCCCUGUCACUGUUGGAGCUGACAGAAAGUAUGGUCUGAACAGGCUUUUGACAGAGGAUGCACGGCAUGAGGAGUCUGCAACCCAUGACUUUACUUUCUCUAUUAGCAAGCACGGGUGGCCACUUCAGACAGAAUGUCUGACAGAUUCGGCGAGCUUUAUAGAAGAACAAGAAAAUGCAGAUGCAAAGGAUAAUUUCAAGAAUUCAAAAAGGAAAGAAAGUCUCAGACAAAGGUGCUUUUUGGAAAAUGGCAAAGGCAUGGAAGUAAGUGGGAGAGCAGGUGGCGGUGGUGGUAUGUCCACCGAAGAAGCACAAAGCUCUACAAGUGGGUAUUAUUUUAAUAGAUCAAACAAGGAGGUUAGUCUAAAAAGUAAAGAAAAAGCUUUGAUGGUGCGUGGGCCCCUGGUUCACAAGGAGUUUGAUCUAAGUGACUUUGUAAGGCUCGUGGGUCUUGUUCCACAAAAUAAUUAUGCUGGGUCAUGUCUAGGCCCACUUAUUCUAUACUAUGAUGGGCUGAGAUAUCAUUUUCAGUUAGGAAGGGAACUAUCAAACAAGAUCUUUUGGCACUCAGCCAUGUCGGCAGAACCAAAGUUGUCGUAUCGGGUGAGCAACAUGCCAAAUUUUACUACAGAGAUUUUAUUUCAGCGACAACAGGCUAAGGAAGCUCAUUUCGACGGUGUCCCAAAAAAAUCCCCCACUUGUUUCAAUUUGAAGUUUCUUGGGAGAUUUGGUGAAAUAGACAAACUUGGAAAAAGGCUGAAGCUUCUUCUCCCACACGAAUUCGGAUCUAACCAGACUGGUGUCGUAAGGCCUGAAAUGAUGGAAAUCCAUUCCCCCAAUCUUUCCAUCUUAGAUUCUGUUGGUGAAUUAGAGGAAGAAAAGGAGAGUGAUGUUGAUGAAAAUCCUGUUCGGCGAUCGGGCUGGUCGACAGAGGAGAAACCAUUUGAUCAAAGGAUGAGAUGGACAGAGGCUCUUGGAUUGGAUUCGUCUUUUUUAUCAGAUAGUGCUGAAGAAGAAUACAUGUCACAAUCAUCAGAUUCAGAUGAGGAGAAUGGUGACUCUUCACAAGACGAAAAAGAACCAUCUGAUGUUUUUGAUCGGUUCAACGGGGAGCUUCACAACCUCUUCACAGAUACAAAUUUGGAAACAGAGGCGACAGCGGAAGAGGAACCAAGUCAAACGCAUCAUGUAGUAGCAUUAGAAGAUGUGGAGCAGUCCGAUUUCAAGGAUAUUGGAAAAAACAAGAAAAUGUUAAAGUACAGUAGAAGGAAAAGAUCGGCUUGUGUAUCAGUCAAACGCGAGGCACAAGAUCAAUCUUCCAAAUUUUUGUCAAAGAUGAAAGUUUCCUUGUUUCCUCUGAAAAGGUCUUUAUUCCAUGAAAUGAAGACUGGGAAAGUUAAAGUCAGCAAGAGUGAGGGUGGAAGCAAGGGAGACAAGAAAUUUCAAAGGGGUAUUAUCAGACUUAAUGAAGAUAAUUAGCUGGAAUGUUAGAGGAUUGGGAAGUAAACAGAAGAGACUGACAUUGAAACAGCAGUUCCGACGUUUACAGCCCGAUAUCAUUAUCUUACAAGAAACUAAGAAAACAUCAAUCGAUAGGAGACUUGUGGCCAGCGUGUGGGGAAGCAGAUUUAAAGAGUGGAUUUAUGCCCCUGCUCAAGGAAGUUCUGGGGGCAUAGCAGUAAUUUGGAACACCAAAAACAUCUCAGUUACUGAAUCUCUGAUUGGAGUUUUCUCUGUCUCCAUAAAAAUUAAGGCCUUCAACGGGUUGGAAUGGUGGUUAUCAGGGGUCUAUGGCCCUUGCAAAAGUAGAGAGCGAAGGGAGUUCUGGGAAGAAAUGGCUGGCCUUUACGGACUGUGCGGACCAAAAUGGUGUGUAGGAGGGGAUUUUAACGUGGUGAGAUUUGUAAACGAGAAAUCAAAUGGGGGAAGGCUGACUACAAGCAUGAGGAAUUUUAAUGAUUUCAUUCGAGAAACAGAACUCAAAGAUUUGGAAUUGCUUAAUGCUCAAUUUACAUGGUCAAAUUUCAGAGAAGAACCUGUGUGUCGGAGGCUAGACAGAUUUCUGGUCUCUGCAGGUUGUGAAGAGAUUUUUCCAGAGGUAAGACAAAUGGCUUUGGCAAGGGUAAUUUCUGAUCAUUGCCCUAUCCAGCUAGAAUCCAACAAGGUGAAAUGGGGGCCAAGUCCUUUUAGAUUCGAAAACAUGUGGCUACAACAUCCAGAGUUCAGGAACAAGUUCAAUCUAUGGUGGCAAUCUGAGCAGGUGGAGGGAUGGGAGGGUUACAAGUUUAUGAUCAAGUUAAAAGCCAUAAAAAAAAAGGUGCAAAGAUGGAGUAAGGAGAGUUUCGGGGAAGUCGAGAAAGACUUUAAAGAAGCUGAGGCUAGCUUAGAGGAGUUAGAUAGGAGAGAGGGGAUGGAAGGGCUAGAUGUUGAUGCUAGAAGAAAGAGGGAAGAACUACUCUUCCUUGUGGGAGAUUUGGCUUACAAGGAAGAAGUGAAAUGGAGGCAAAGAAGUAAAGUGGAAUGGGCAAAGGAAGGGGAUGGUAAUACUAAAUUUUUCCAUCGAGUUGCAAGCGGGAGAAGGAAGAGAAACUAUAUAGAAAGGUUGGAACCGGAGGUUGGGGGAGUGAUAGAGGAUGCGAACGAGAUAGAAGAUCAUAUAGUCAAUUUCUUCAAGUCCUUGUUUAGUAGCAACGAAGAGGCAUGUUGGGGCUUGGAAGGUAUCAAUUGGGCUCCAAUAAGCGAACUUGAGGCGAAUUGGAUUGAGAGGCCUUUUGAGGAAGCCGAAGUUCAAAGAGCAGUUUUUGAUUGUGGAAAGGAUAAAUCGCCAGGACCGGAUGGCUAUUCUUUGCAAAUGAUUCAACAAUGUUGGGAUAUCUUGAAGGCGAACAUUAUGAAGAUUAUGGAGGAGUUCUACGAGACAGGGAUAAUAAAUGCGGUGACAAAUGAAACUUUUAUUUGUCUAAUUCCGAAGAAGUCAGAUUCUAUGAAAGUGACGGAUUUCAGGCCCAUAAGUCUUGUGACUGGGUUAUAUAAAAUUAUGGCGAAAACCUUGGCCUCAAGAUUAAAGGAGGUUUUGGGCAGCACAAUUUCUCAAAAUCAAGGAGCGUUUGUUAAGGAUCGACAAAUAUUGGAUGCUGUCCUUAUCGCAAAUGAAGUGGUAGAAGAGGUCAGGCAGAAGAAAGAGGAGGGAUUGGUGCUCAAAAUAGAUUUUGAAAAAGCGUAUGAUCAUGUAGAGUGGAGAUUUUGGACGAAGUCUUACAAAGAAAAAGCUUUGGCAACAGAUGGAGGAAAUGGAUGCAGGGAUGCUUAAGUUCCGCAAAUUUUUCUGUUUUGAUUAACGGGAGGCCUAGGGGAAAAUUUCAAGCUUCAAGAGGUUUGAGACAAGGUGAUCCACUGUCACCUUUUCUUUUUACCUUAGUAGUCGAUGUUUUGAGUAGGUUAAUGGAGAAGGCUCAAGAAAAUCAUCUCAUCAAAGGGUUAUGUAUUGGGCAAGAAAAGGUGGAGAUUUAUCAUCUUCAAUUUGCAGAUGAUACCAUUUUUUUCUUGGCGGAAGAUGAGGGAGGUUGGAACAAUCUAUUAGAGCUGCUCAAAUUAUUCUGUUCUGUUUCAGGGUUGAAAAUCAACAAAGCUAAGUGUUAUUUGGCCGGAAUAAAUUCAGAUUGUGAGAAAUUAAAUAGGUUGGCGGAUUCUUGGGGUUGUGAGGUAGGUAGCUGGCCUAUAAAGUAUUUGGGACUCCCUCUUGGGGGUAGGCCAAGAGCACUCAAGUUUUUGGGAUCCAGUGGUAGAUAAGAUGGAAAAAAGACUUCAAAGUUGGAAGAAGGCCUUCUUAUCCAGAGGAGGUAGAUUAACUCUGAUUCAAUAUGUUUUGGGAAGCUUGCCGACCUACUACAUGUCUCUGUUCAAAAUGCCUUGCGGGGUGAUUGGACGCCUAGAAAAACUAAUGAAAGGAUUUUUGUGGGAAGGUGUGGAGGAAGGAAAGAAAAACAACCUGGUAAAAUGGGAGAUAGUUAUUAAAAGUAAAGAGGAAGGAGGUUUAGGGGUGGGGAAUUUGAGGAAUCGGAAUGAAGCAUUACUUGCUAAGUGGUUGUGGAGAUUCCCAAAGGAACCUCAUUCUCUCUGGCACAAAGUGAUAAGAAGCAAAUAUGGGCUACAGGAUAACGGAUGGAACGCAUUUCCUCCGAUAAGGGGUUUCAAGCCGUAGCCCAUGGAAAGAUAUAUCGAUUGGUUCCCAAUUGUUUCUUCACUGCUGUAAGUUCGAGGUGGGCAACGGGGAGAGGGUGAGGUUUUGGGAGGAUGGGUGGUUAGAUGGAGGACCAUUGAAAGAGCAAUUUCCUAGAUUAUUCUUGCUAUCGAGGAAGCACAAUCAGAACAUUUCAAGCUUUGUAGAUCUUUCUACCAAUUCUUUAAGUUGGAAUUUUGAUUUCAGGAGAAAUUUGAAUGAGGCGGAGAUAGAAGAGGCGGCUAGAUUAUUACAGAAAGUGGAAGAGGUCCGAUUGUCUCAAUCAAGAACGGAUAACAGAAGGUGGAAAAUGGAAGCAUCAGGAUUGUUCACAUGCAAAUCCUAUUGUUCCUUCUUGAGUAACAAUGGGAUGAUGCAAUACUUCCAACCCCAUUCACAGAUUUGGAAAUCCAAAGUUCCUCCGAAGGUUAAGAUUCUUGUAUGGUUGGCGGCCAAAGGGAAGCUCAACACUUGUGACCAAAUUCAAAGGAGAAGCCCUUUUAUUUGCUUAUCCCCACAAUGGUGCAGUUUGUGCAAAGCAAAGGAGGAGAGUGUAAACCACAUUUUUCUCCAUUGCUCUUACACGAUUCAGCUGUGGUGGAAACUGUUUCAGGAGGUUAGAGCUAGUUGGGUCAUUCCAAAGGGUUGUUUCGAGCUUCUAAGCACCAAGUUUCAGGCCCUAGGAAGUGGGAGGAAAGCUAAAGCUUUGUGGGGUUGUCUGGUCUCGGCAGUUUUUUGGAACAUUUGGCUGGAGCGUAACAAAAGAAUUUUUGAGGAUUAUACAGGUGUGGGGGUAGAAGUACUUUGGGGAAGAGUAAAAUAUUGGGCAGCCCUUUGGGCGUCAGUCUCAAAUGUUUUUAAUAACUACUCUAUUUCUCAAUUACUGUGGGAUUUGUUAGCAGCAGUAAAGUGAGUUAGGUCUAGCUAAUGUUGCUGUAGCCAAAUCCUAGUGAGAGUUUUUUCUUGUUUCUUGUUAAUGGUGGAUUUCUUAUCCACUCCAGUGUAUUUCUCUUUUCUUCUAUAAAAUGUUUUGUUUCUUCUCAAAAAAAAAAUAAUAACUUGAGAUAGUGCAUUCCAUUAUUCUUGCUAACUUGUUUUGUUUGUUUCAAAGACUUUCUAACACAUAUCUUUUGUAUUUUCCUAUUCAUGAUCCUUUAGUCUAGAAAAAUUCUUCUACGCAGUUGUUCGUAUGUAGAAACUAUCACAUCAAUGGGAUCACAAGGUACCUUGGAUGCUAAGAAAAUAUAACGACUAUUUUGUGAGUGGCCGCACAUACUUAUGACCCUUUAGUCGCACACUAAAAUUUCUCCUUAGACUAAGAUGCAUCUCAACUUUACACUACACUAAAAACACAUCAUAUUGUUAAGGAAAUGCUUGGUAACUUAUCAUCUAACACUCACUUUCAUAUCUAAAUCACUCCAAAAAGAUUUGUUGUGAGAAAAUGCGGUUUGGUUCACAAAUUUUGUCUAGUGCAUAUCAAAAGAAAGUUCAGUUCCGAACAAGAGGGCACCAAAGAUAACCUCUUGGUUCUACCAUCCAAGUGAAUAAAAAGCCCAAUUACUGGCUCAAUACAAAACAUUAAUAGAAAUGUUCUAAGCCCAAUAGUCGGUGUCCGGCUCAGAAUUCGAGAGAGCGAGAAUGGUGUCCGGCUCAGGAAUCCGCGCGAAGCGAGUGGUGGUGGAUAGGCACCACCGCAUGCUCGAUCAUCUGGCGCGGUCAUGACCAAGGACCUUCUCAACGGCCAGUCGAUCAUCUGACGCAGAAGCUGAAGUACAUGAAGUUCCUCAGGAAGCGCAUGAACACCCAACCCUCUCAGGGCCCCAUCCACUACCUCUCUCCCGCCAAAAUCUUAUGGCGCAACGUCUGAGGGUAAUGCCGUAAUUUCAUAAUGCACACUCUGGUCCUCUGUGACCGUUAUAAUGGCGAUUGGUUUGUAUUUUUUCCGGGAUGAUCCGCACAAGUCUAAACGCGGGCUCUGGCGAGGCUGAAGGUUUACGAGGGCAUCCCACCGCCGUAUGACUAGAUGAAGAAGAUGGUGGUUCCUGAUGCUAUCAAGUGAGUAUGGUGGCGGUGUGUCUUUUUGUUUUUGUUUUCUAAGUGUUUGAUGAAUUGCUUCGGUGAAUUGGGGUUUGUGAUCAAUUGUCAAAUUAGGGUUUUGAGGCUUCAGAAGGGCCACAAAUACAGCUUGUUGGGUCAGCUUUUGUCCGAGGUCGGAUGGAAUCAUUAUGACACCAUCAAGGUAAGAUGAAAUUCAACUCAAAAGAUUUAUGCAUUUUGCAAUUCUUGUUUAAUGAUGUCGAAAUUUGUUAACAUUGCCUUUUAUUUGUUGUAAGUAACUUGAAUGUAGAUUGCAUUCUCUUGUAAUUUGAAUGCAGUUUGGAUGUAAUUUGAAUGUAGAUUGUUGUUAGCCACAGCAGAGUCCAUACAUUUGUUAACUUACAGAGUUAUCUUCAUCAUUUGCAUCAUUUCACUUGUCGGUUUUAUGAUGUUUAUGUAUUUAUUCAUCCAUGAAUAUGGUUUUCAUGAUCAUACAUGGCUUUAUAUGUUUUUAAAAUUUCUUGAGAUGUCCUCGAAUUUGGAAGCUGCCUUUAAGCUUGGCAAUAGGUUUGCAUUAUACGUGUUUUUGCAUCCAUGGCAUGAUGUUCUCGGAUUUAUAUGAAUGCAAUGUUACAUUUGUUGGUAAAGUUAUAUGCCAAGUACUGAACAAGAGAAAGGAGAUAGCUGAGUUGGCAUACGAGAGGAAGAAGCUUGGUUGCAGACUGAAAAAUCUGCAGAGGAGAAGCUUGGUUCCCAGCUUCAACUCCUUUAUUCGGUGACAUAUUAAAAGUUUAGGGCUAUGACGUGGUGUCGUCGUCUUUUUUACCCUCCCAGUCAUACGUUCUUUUGUUGAGGAUUACAUCGGUGAGUUUCUUUUGGCUUUUAUUCGGGAUUACAUCGUAGUGAACUUCUUGUCGAGCAUCUCAUUUUGAGGAAUCAGAUCUUUUAUUCUGAUAAGUUUAAAUGAGGAACUUGUUUACCUGUGUUGACUGACUUGAAUCGUAUGGUUCUAAUUUGUUUUAUGAUAUUGUCUUUUUCCAUAAAAAUUUAUGGGUCUCAGUCUUGGUUUCUUUGUUGGCGCCACUUUACUGCCACCAAAAGCCAUGGCGGCUUCCGUUGUGUGCAUAUUGUGUUAACAUGGCUAGAGUUUUGGGUGUUUGCCUGACAUUUUAGCUUGACGUUUUCUAGCCUAUCGGAGAACUAUAAACCUAUUUUUGAACUGAAUUUAAAUUCGGGUAUGAUUUUUGGGUACGUCAUCGGACCGUUGAAGAUGGUCUUAGUAGAGCUAGAGACUCGUGUGGUGUUUGCACAUGUGACAAACUCUGUAAAAUGGGAUUACACUUUUCUAAUCUCGCAAAAUAUUUAGAGAAUAACUCGACUCUAGAACGUACAUUCUUGGAUGAACUUUCCAUGGUACAAAUAGAGGACUGAACAUCCUACAGUAAACCGCAGGAUAACAAAUAUCAAUGGAGGGACGUCUCAUUUACACGAGGGAAUUCGAACAAUGCCCUCCUUUCCGACUCAGCGCUGAAAAAUGCAGACCUCCUCAUGUUCCGAAGUGUUGGGAGUGAGAACUUGGAUUGGUCUUGUAUCUGGACGCUGGCUGAUCAAACACAAAGAAGUUGGCAAGAAAUGUAGAAAACAACCUGCAACAUGUUGAAAUGAUGGUAAAAGGUUUGGAACAAAAUAUUUAAGACAAAAAACUUGAUGAAUAAUUUGGUUUGACAAGAAAUUACCUACUGAAGUUUAGAAUGUGAGGAAUCUCAGGCCAAUAUUCAAUCUUCAUCCUCAUCUUAAUUAACUAAUUGACAAAAAAAAAGAGGUUUGGUCAAUACGCAAUACUGAAGAAGAAAUGUGAGAGAAGGAGAAUUGAACAAAUGAAUUAUUUGUUUUGAGAGAGAAGAAUUACUUUCGAUUUCUGGAAUAUGAGAAAUCUUGGGCCACUCUGUGCCGGUACCCCUGGCGCAUUUUUCCUUCAGAAAGGGACAUUCAAAAAUCCUUAGAUAUUUUAGUUUGGUGAGGCGUCGCAUAGCUUGGGCGGAAGGCAGAGACUUGAGAUUCGUGCAUUUGUAAAUAUGUAGAUGGUUGAGAGAUGUAAGGUCACCCAACCAUUCUGGAAGAGUCUCCAGCCCAUCACACUCAUAUAUUCCAAAGUAUGUUACAGGACUAGUCGAGUGAUUAAUUACUUGAGGCAGAGACUUGAGCUUGGGCCACCCCACUAUUGCCAAGCACUCUGAUGAUGGAAUUUGCGAAACCGGGAAAGAAUCGAGCUCCUCCCAGAAUCCACCAAUCCACAACUUUUCCAAACGAGUCAGAGUGUGUAGACCCGUCGGCAAGUAUUGUAAUUUCUCACAACUACGUAUUGAUAAAUCGGAAAGAGAUUGCAAGCUAGUUACAUCGACAUCUGCCAGAGAUAUCAAUUUUUUGCACCUUUUAAUUUUCAAGUCGACAAGAGAUGUGCAGGAUGUGAGGUUGUCUAAACUGAGAAGAGCCUUUAAAUUCUGACAAUCCUUUAUUCUCAGUUUGCCAAGGGAUGUGCAAUCGUGUAAAGAAAUCUGCCUCAAAUUCUGACAAUCCUCUAUUCUCAGUUCGCCAAGGGAUGUGCAAUCGUGUAAAGAAAUCUCCUCAAGAGUAGUGAUAGAGCCAAUGUUCAAUUCUGGUCCGCUGCAACUUGCAAUAACCAAUCUCCGGAGGGCGGUCAGACUGCUCCCCUCAUCGGCAACUGAACUCCAUCUUAGCAUAGGGCAAUUCACUAUACUCAACUCCUCAAGAGAUUCAUGACCGCCUGGCAGGCUUGAUAGUUGAGCACAAUCUUCAAUUACAAAUUGCCCAAGGGAUGGCGGGAAUACAUCUGAAAUUGGAAUGGAUACCAAGUUUCGGCUACCACUUAUUUUCAAUCUCUCAAGUGCGUUGCAAUUCUCGAUACACAGUGAACCAAGGGAUGUACAAUCCUGUAAAUACAACUCCUCCAUUGUAGUACUACUGACGAUAGACAAUUCCAGUACAUAACUUGCAAUAAGUACCAGUUUCCGAAGGGUCGUCAGACCGUGAUUUGAAAUGCUUAUUAGCUUAGGGCAGUUAUAAAUGGUCAGCUCCUCAAUAAGAGACAUGUCUACCCCAUAAGCUGAAUACUGCCCCAAUUGUUGAUAAUCGUGGACACACAGUGCACGGAUAGAAGUACAAGAUUCAAGCCCACUCGAUACACAAGUCUUUAGUCCAUCACAAUCUUCAAUGGUCAAUUCACGAAAGGAUGUGCAUUCAUGUAAACCUGAAAUUGACUCCAGACUUUUGCACGACCUUAAAGACAACACCUGUAGAGGGGUAUAGCAUUCUGGUAGACUUUGCAGGUCCAUUAAUCUUAAUCCACCACAUGAACUAAUCUUCAAUCCUCGAAGGGAUGUUGCACCAUGAACUGAAAUGGACAUCAGACUAUCGCAGCAACUUAUUUCCAAAUUUUCAAGAUAUGGACAUUUUAUGGACAACUCCUUAAGAGAAACUCGGCCGUACAAUUCUGGUCCACUAUGCAGGCUCGUUGAUGUUAAUUUACCACCACGUGAACUAAACAACAAUUUCUGGAUGGAUGUCAAACCAAAUAAUGAAAGGGAUCUAAGUUUGUCGCAGUUGCUUAUUUCCAUAUUCUCAAGAGAGGUACACUUUUCUACCAGACUUGUUAGGUUUGACAGCUCGUGACAAAUACUCAUAUCCAACUUAUGAAGGGAUGCAAAAUGAUCAGGAAAAUUUCUCAUUUGUGGACACUCCACGAGAUCCAACUCCUCAAGGCGAGGAAACACCGAUAUUUGUUUUUCUUUCACCACUGGUGGUUCAAUCCAUUCGAUCAAAUUUGGGGCCGCAGUAAUUCUGAACGUCUUCAAUGCAGGAUACAAAACCUUGGUCUUCAUUGCAUCAUCAACGUCAUCAUAGCCAUAAAACUCAUCUCCCAAACUUUUUAGAUUACACAUUGUAUUAAACUCAAGAUGCAUAAGACUAGGUAGAUGGCCAAGCAUGGGGGCUUCUUCACAUACGUCGCACUGAAUUAAUCGAAUUUUUUUCAAGUUGUUGUGCGGCUUCCAAUAUGGAAAUUUAGCACCCAUGAAAUUGUAAAUCUCUAAAAUUUCCAAAUUUGGGUGUGGCUGGAGGCCUUGGAGAACAUCUUCUUCGCUGUUGCUGUGUGGCCUCAUUUCCUCACCCCAUACAAGUGAUAACUUUCGUAUGUUUCUCUUUUCAACUAAAUUUGAUUUCUUCGCUUCUUCUCCAUCCCUCACAUGUUCCAAAUCAUAAAUAGCCAAUUCACCUUUCAAGUGAUUUAAGCCAGCCAAUUCCUCAAUUCCACGACCGAUUCCAUCAGAACUCACAAUAAAAUGAGGCAUUUUUCGAAGAUUAGUCAAUUGCUCGACCCCAACAUGAGAUUCCCUGUACCAACCAAAAUUAGCACGUUUCUUUUUUUGGACAGGACCAAAAUAGAUAUGUCUCAAGUUGAUCAAAUCUCCAAUUUCCUUAGGAAACACCUUCAGUAGUCGACAAUACUCCAUUCUUAAUGUCUGUAAGUUAUGGAGCUUGCCGACAGAUUUGGGGAUUGCUUUGAUCUUUGUCCUAGAAACGUUUAAAUACCUCAACUGCUUCAUCUUCUCAAUUGAUUUCGGCAGCUCCUUAAUAUCAGCAUUGUAAAGAUUCAAGACAUGUAAACCCCUAAACCUUGGCAACAUGUUACUAGGAACUUCACUAUUAGAAAACAAUGAGCGCAAUCCCCUUAAACUUUUUUUUGGUAUCAAUUCCAAAACCGAAGUAGGAAUGUGCGAAGCAUGUCGAAUCUUCAGUGUGCCAACCAUCUCAUAAGAAUUCGAUGUCGCGCUAUCAGAUUUUGAUACAAGUUCUGCAAAAUCAUGCACAAGAAUGUGCAUCUUGCAUUUGGCAACAACACCAAAGGCAUCCUUCGUAAGAUCUUGAAGUAAGGAGUUUUGCAACAGAAUAUGAAAAUACUCCGUGCCUAUAUCCUCCAUCUCUAGAUCACUAUUCUCGGAAGAAGGGUGAAGCAAUCCUUGAGCCAUCCACAGUUGGAUUAGGUCAUCCCUUUCCAUUUCAAAGCCUUCCUUGAACAUUGAGCAAUAAGUGAAGCAUUGUUUCAAAAUUGGGAAUUUCAAAUUAUCCAAACUCAACUUCAAUCCCGAGAUGAUCAUCUGUUCUGCUUCUGGAGAGUCCCAUAUUUUACUGUCUAGAAUUGCUGACCAUUCACUUGCAUCAUUCUUAGAACACAACAUUCCUCCGAAAACCUGUUGGUUCAUAUAUAGUUAGAUUUGUUGUUAAAUAAUUCAUAGGUUGCAUAACCGAUUAUAACAAUAAAAACAUCAAUUUGUAGUUUGACAGAAGCUGACUAAUACGUGCACAUUGUUUUGUAUUGAUGCAGACUAUAACUUGGCUUGUCCAUACAAAUGUUUCAUUUAAACUUUUUAACAUUUCAGUUGACUUCCUAUACAGUUUAAUCGACUAUAACUUGGUGUUGUUAACUUUUUAACUUUUUAACAUUUCAUUUAAACUAUAACUUGGUGUUGUUAACAUUUCAGUUGACUUCCUCUACAAUUUAGAUUUCACAUGUGUGGCUGAGAUGAGAGAAUAGUAAAUCUAACACAAACAUUUUAAUCGACGUGAGAAAUAUAUUUUAUUUAAAUUGGUUCACAAUGAUCAAGUUUUGGUGGCUAUAAUAAAUUUGUGACUAUCAACCUAGAAGAUCUAUAAUGCAACAGUAGAAGUACAUGGGUGAAGAGAAGGAGCAAUGGCCUUUUUUAAUGACCUUUAUGCACUUCUACAUUCUUUUUAUUUUUACUAGCCAUUUAGUUGAUAAAGAGAAUGUUAGGACCCUGAUAAAGUUAAUGGGUCAAUAUAUGUAAGAAGGUUAAUGAGUCACUUAAGCCCACUAAGGAGAAUACUAUGUAUCAAGAUGAAUGGGUGUCCAGUGAUCAACAAUCAUUACCGUCUAAGGGAGUGUAUCUAGAAAAAUGGUCAAGUCUAGUCGGACUAUCACGAAUGUUUAGGAAAGACAAUUUGUCAUUAUAACACAUUUAUUGUAGCUCAUUAGCUGGCCAAUGUCCAAGUUAAAGACGAGAACAUGAGUACGUGUAAUGCUUGCGGGACAAAGACAUUGGUUUCAUGAGAGUUUCAAUGUCUCGUCGGUGUUUUGGGAAGUCUACAUUGUUAUUGGAAAACAAUGAUGGCGUAUCUCUCAUCUAAGAUAGUCAUAUCUUGUUUAACACCCGGAGUCCGGAUAUGAGCUAGCCAACAUUAUAUGUAUCAUAUCCAGCCAACAUUAUAUGAAACAAAGUCCUCCAUGCACUGUGGGAGACCGAAAGAAUUGAACAAACCUUUACAGUGUUAGAUAAGAUAAAAAUUUGUGGAAAUGUUCAUGAUAUCAAGAUGGGCCAUUUUAUUUGAAGCUAAUCGUUUCAUGGUCAAGGAACUGUUGCAUUUGACAGAGUUGAUACAAUAUUGUGGUGAUAAUGCCAAGUCGUCUGAUGCCUCGCUAAUCCGAGGAAGCAAGAUUAUUAUUGGACGAAGGCAAAGUUGUUCAGUAGAUGAAUUAAACAACUUUUUGGGUCUUUGUUCAGUAGUAUUAUAUGCAUUAGAAUCAUGAAGGAAAAAGUUGUUCGGUUGGAGGCUAAUGUGCUUGUGGGAUGCUAGAGAAUUUGGAAAUUUUUCAUUUUCACCAAGGUUAUAUUUGGGGAAAUAUUCAGCAAUUGAUGACAAGUUUGCACUUGUUUUGGUUGUAGCUACCACGCUAAUACUUGGACAAAGGCAGAGCUUAUUGGGUCUAACUUAGCAUAAACUACAAUUACGGCAUGAAGACAUGCCUUUAUUUUGGGGGUAGGAUUGUUAGGAUGCUGGGAUUUACGGCUCAAAAGUAGGAUGAUGCAAAAAUUAGGUUUGUGUUACCUAUUUCAUUUUGGUGUCUUCUUUUAGUUUGGAUUUGAUUUUUUGGUUGGAUUCCUCGCUUGAUGGAGAGAUUUUGUUGAUUAACAUUUGAUUAGGAUUUUGAUUUACUUCCAAUUAGGAUUAGAAUUCUCAUUGUAACCUAAGUCCUAUGCACUAUAAAAACACUAUAAAUAGGACCUUAGGUUUUGGUUUAUUUUGUGUGCCAACACCAUUAUUUUAGAGAGUUUUCUCUCAUUGGGUUUUGGGUAGAGGUCACAGUUUGGAGUCAUGAUUGUGUGG